AAUUAUUGAAGUAGAGAAUGUGCUGCUACGCACCCUUUGAGUCAAAAGAAAUGUGGGAAGAGGCACAUCCGCCAAUAAUU
rfam:Dorea sp. 5-2 genomic scaffold acPFE-supercont1.1, whole genome shotgun sequence.